rnacentral:rRNA from 1 species
ACGUAGGGGGCGAGCGUUGUCCGGAUUUAUUGGGCGUAAAGGGCGCGUAGGCGGUGCUGUAAGUUUGGAGUGACAGUGGGUGGCUUAACUACCCAAGGCCUUUGAAAACUGGAGCACUUGAGGACCAGAGAGGGACAUAGAAUUCCGGGUGGAGUGGUGAAAUGCGUAGAUAUCCGGAGGAAUACCAAAGGCGAAGGCAGUGUCCUGGAGGGUGACUGACGCUGAGGCGCGAAAGCUAGGGGAGCGAACAGGA